UACGUAGGGUGCGAGCGUUAAUCGGAAUUACUGGGCGUAAAGCGUGCGCAGGCGGUUUUGUAAGCCAGAUGUGAAAUCCCCGGGCUUAACCUGGGAAUGGCAUUUGGGACUGCAAGGCUGGAGUGUGGCAGAGGAGACUGGAAUUCCUGGUGUAGCAGUGAAAUGCGUAGAUAUCAGGAGGAAUACCGAUGGCGAAGGCAGGUCUCUGGGCUGACACUGACGCUCAUGCACGAAAGCGUGGGAGCAAACAGG
rnacentral:rRNA from 1 species